GUACUUACAUCAAUCACACAUAUGCUAAAAUUGAAAUGAUAGAGAUUAACAUGGCCCCUGCCAAGGAUGACAUGUAAAUCUGUGAAGCAUUCCAUGUUUUA
rnacentral:snRNA from 1 species